UACGUAGGUGGCAAGCGUUGUCCGGAAUUACUGGGUGUAAAGGGAGCGUAGGCGGCCUGGCAAGCCUGAUGUGAAAUACCGGGGCCCAACCCCGGGGCUGCAUUGGGAACUGCCAGGCUGGAGUGCCGGAGAGGCAGGCGGAAUUCCUAGUGUAGCGGUGAAAUGCGUAGAUAUUAGGAGGAACACCAGUGGCGAAGGCGGCCUGCUGGACGGUGACUGACGCUGAGGCUCGAAAGCGUGGGGAGCAAACAGG
rnacentral:rRNA from 1 species